GCCUACGGGGGGCAGCAGUAGGGAAUUUUCGUCAAUGGGCGCAAGCCUGAACGAGCAAUGCCGCGUGAACGAGGAAGGUCUUCGGAUCGUAAAGUUCUGUUGAAGGGGAAAAAGAGCGGAGAGAGGAAAUGGUCUCCGAUUGAUAUUACCCUUCGAGGAAGUCACGGCUAACUACGUGCCAGCAGCCACGGUAAUACGUAGGUGGCGAGCGUUAUCCGGAAUGAUUGGGCGUAAAGGGUGCGUAGGCGGCCUGCUAAGUCUGGAGUGGAAGGUACCGGCUCAACCGGUACAGGCUCUGGAAACUG
rnacentral:rRNA from 1 species